CUUCUGACUCAGUAUGUAAUGUGUUCCUCUCAGUCUCUCCUCGUUAAAAUAAUUCUGUCUAUAAUACCAGUAGAUAUUUUGGCUCUGUCAAGGUUAUUAUUAACAAACCACUAAUUACUAAGCUAAUAGUAUUAAAAAAACAAUUAAGGCCUAUAAAAUUCAUAUAAGGUCUCUGUUUUCAUAGGAACAGUUUGGCAAGGAUGGCGGAGUCCAUUGCACUGUGCUGAAGUUUGCUCCACACUCGCUUCCAGGCAGUGUGGAGGCAAAUCAAAACUGAACAUCAGCACUCUUCACAGGAUUUCCUGCCAGAGCUGGUCACUCCGUCUGGGUUUCAAGCUGGUCUGACAGGCAAGCGGAGUGUUUUCAAACCCGCUAGAGCUGACCUGAGACAGCAUGCUUAUUCUGUGCAAACCCACUCUCAGAAUGGCUUGCGGUACUACUUGCUUUCUCACGUGGUGUGUAUUCA
rnacentral:lncRNA from 1 species